GGGUCAGUAGGUUGGUCGUGCCACCGGUACGUACUGGUCUCACUGAUUCCUCCUCCCUGAAGAACCGUAAUGCCAUUAAUUUGGUGUUGCGGGGAAACAGGACUGUUACUUUGAAAAAAUUAGAGUGCUUAAAGCAAGCUAACGCUUGAAUACAUUAGCAUGGAAUAAUGAAAUAGGACGAUCGAUCCUAUUUUGUUGGUUUCUAGGAUUGACGUA
rnacentral:rRNA from 1 species